rnacentral:snRNA from 1 species
AGCUUUGUGCAAUGGCAGCCAAUGAGAUUUAUUCGAGGUGUGAUGAUUGCCAAUUGAAAACAGAAUUUAGGGAUAGCG